GCGUCAGUAGCGCAACUGGUUGGAGCCCGCGCUUCCGGAUAGAGUGAGAUGUGGGUUCGAGUCCCGACUGAUGCG